rnacentral:rRNA from 1 species
CAGGUAGGUGGUCUUGUUUGUCUAAGGUGAAGCCCAGGGCUUAACCCUGGAAGUGCCUUAGAAACGGCAGGACUAGAGUCUCGGAGAGGGUCGCGGAAUUCCCGGUGUAGUGGUGAAAUGCGUAGAGAUCGGGAGGAACAUCAGAGGCGAAGGCGGCGGCCUGGGAAGAGCACUGACACUCAACUGCGAAAGCGUGGGGAUCAAACA